UAGAUACCCCACUAUACGGAGCUAAAAACUCACGGUGAAGCACUAAGACCUACAGGUUAAAACUUAAAGGGCAUGGCGGCGAGCUUAAUUCUUCAGGGGAAUUUACCAGGUAAUUGACAACCCACACGGUGCCUCUCUUGGUCUAAUAGUUUGUAUGCCGCCGUCUUCAGAUAACACCUAAGGUAUUGUCUACCCUCUAACGGAUAAAAGACAGGUCAUGGUGCAGCUAAUGACUAAGUGCUAGGUGAGUUACAGUAGUGCCUCUCUUCCGCUACAAGGAUUAAACUUUCCUUGUAAAAGAUGGACUUGAAAGUAAUAUCCAUAUAUAAUAAUAUUUGAAUUCAGAUUAGGUUCGUGCACAC
rnacentral:rRNA from 1 species